AACUACUCCGGUGGCAUAGUGGUUAGAGCGGCUGCCUUGAAAGCGGGAGGUCGUGGGUUCUAUCCCCGGUCGAGUCA